ensembl:lncRNA
AACACAUACCUCUAUCUCCAUUUACUAGCUAGAUGUUGUUUACUCCCCACACCAAGAAAAUAUAACUGGUGUGUGGAGCUGUCUGAUGACAGUGAUUUUGAAAGCCCGGUUGUACAACGAAGGAGAGUGACUCGGAGAGAUGCACCGUCCAGAGCCCAGAGCGAACACUGUGAGAGGCAAGAGAGGGUGGAAGCCAGUGCUCCUCCAUCUGAUGAUGGGAUGGACCUACAGGGACAGCGAGGGCCAAAUUAAGCUAUGAAUCACUUUGCAGAUUUCAUGUACUCAUGUACUCAUGUAUUUCAUGUAUAUGUAUUAACUUAAGGUUUUCUCAUGUAAUAUUUGUUACAUUUUAUGUUGGUCCAUUUUGUUAGG